rnacentral:rRNA from 1 species
AUGAAGCCUAGUGAUUCGAUUGUUGAUUUUCCCUGCCUACGAACUCUACAUGCAGAAUCUAUAGAUGUUGCUGUAUUGGUUGAGUCUUUGGGGAAACUCAAGCACCUGAGGUACUUGUUAAUACAGAAAUCCAAUAUAUCUAGUUUGCCAGAUAACAUUGGAAAUAUGAAAUUUCUGCAGUUCAUUGGCCUUGUAGAAUGCCAACAAUUUGUGAAAGUUCCACAUAGCAUUUUGAAGCUAGGGCAGCUGAGGUAUCUUAACUUUUAUGACUCUAGUGUAAAUAGUAUACCAAGGGGGUUCUGUGUUCUAACAAAUCUAAGGAAUCUGCGUGGGUUUCCAGCGCAGACAGAUGGUGUUUGGUGUAGUUUGGAUGAGUUAGGCCCUCUUUCUGAGCUCAGAUCUCUUGGAGUGCAGAGAUUGGAGAAUGUGUCCGUUACCUCGUCUGCGGCAAAGGCAAAGCUUGGUGAGAUAGUUCAUCUGACCCACUUGUUUUUAUACUGCAGCAGUAUAUUGGGAGAUGAUGGGCUGAUUAAAGAUGAAAAGGGUGUCUCUGAGGAAGAACAGCGACAAAUUGCGGGUGUGUUUGAUGAGCUCUGCCCUUCGCCUAGCUUAGAGUAUCUUGAUAUAAAUGGAUUUUUUGGCCGACGGCUCCCAAGGUGGAUGACGUCAAGAUCAGCAGCGGUCUUCAAGAGCUUGAGGAUUAUAUUGAUGUAUGAUCUAGCUUGUUGCACCCAACUACCCGAUGGCUUGUGCCAGCUCCCAUGUUUGCAGGAAAUUGACACCCGACGCGCUCCAGCCAUCAAGCGUGUUGGACCUGAAUUCCUACAGCCCCACUUAGCGACGGCUGCGUUUCCGAGAUUACAGAAGAUGUGUUUAGUUGAUAUGGUGGAAUGGGAGGAGUGGGAGUGGGAGGAGCAAGUGCAAGCCAUGCCUCUUUUGGAGGUGCUUGAGCUCGAAAAUUGCAGAUUGAGGUGUCUCCCUCCUGGCCUCGCCUCACAUGCGAGGGCUUUAAAGUCUAUAUCUGCACAAAAUAACCAGCACCUCAACUCACUAGAGAACUUUGCUUCUGUUGUUGAGCUGGAAGUGGCUAAAAGCCCUGACUUGGAGAGGAUCACUAAUCUUCCCAAUCUGCGGAAGCUUGAGAUCGAGACUUGCCCCAAGCUGAAGGUACUGGAGGGUAUUUGUGCGCUCCAGAGGCUCGUAUUGGAGGAUUAUGCCAUGGAAACACUUCCUGAAUACAUGCGAGAUGUAAACCCAAGGCAUUUUGAGCUACGCUGCAGCCUGACGUUGCUCACUUCCAUAGCCGCGGGACAAUCUGGCCCUGAGUGGGAUAGGUUCAGUCAUAUCGACCAUGUCAAGGCAUAUGCACCUGAUGAGAACAAUACAAGGAAAUGGUACGUGUUGUACACGAGAGAGCCCUGCAGCUUGAUCACAAAUGUCAGCCACUCCACAUCUGCAGGGUAUGUAGAGGAGGACCAGGAAGUAGUUUCAUGA